ACGCGCCCGCGUCGCCAGGGUCGCCCUUGUGGAACGUGCUCGGCAGGCCGCGGGUUUGAGAGGCGUCUCGGCGUGACGAAUGCAACCAGCGUGGCCCCAAAUGAGUCGGCGGCCGCCGCAGGUUGACGUAGAGCCGCGGCGCUCCCCGGGGCCGUUACCCGCGGGACUUUCCCUUCUUUAUUUAUUGCGGGCGACGGAGGCUGGAACCCAGAUGCGCAAGUGUGGGGCGUGUCCUCGUGGCGUCCCUGGAGCUCCGAAGCCGAAACCCGGGUGCCAGGAGAGGCAGUGAGGUCGGAAAGGCACCGCGGGGCCAACAUUAGGGCUGAGCUAGCUCUGUGGCCUCGUUCAGUCUCUCUGGGCCUCGCCAUUCUCUUUCUCUUUUUCUUGCUGUUUGUUUGAGACGCAGUCUCUCUCUCGCCCAGGCUAGAGUGCAGUGGCGCAAUCUCGGCUCACUGCAACCUUUGCCACCUGGGUUCAAGCGAUUCUCCUGCCUCAGCCUCCCCAGUAGCUGGGACUACAGGUGCCCACUAUCACGUCCGGCUAAUUUUUAGUAGAGACGGGGUUUCACCAUGUUGGCCAGGCUGGUCUCGAACUCCUGACCUCAGGCGAUCCGCCCGCCUUGCCCUCCCAAAGUGCCGGGAUUACAGGCGUGGACCACCGCGCCUGGCCUAGGGCCUCGCCAUUGUCAUCUGGAAGAUGUGAGAGGACCCCCCUUUGGCCCUGGGAAUGUGAGGGCUCGAAGCACGCGGUGCCCAGGCACUCCCCCGUACGGCCCCUCAUGCAUCCCAGCGCCCAUCAGGCCUUAGGACACGGCGGAUUGCGAGGCUUGCUAUCGUCCUAUCGCUACAAAAGUAACCUAUUUAUUUAUGUAGAGACGGAGUUUCACUCUUGUUGCCCACGCUGGAGUGUAAUGGCGCGAUCGCGAUCUCGGCUGACCGCAACCUCUGCCUCCUGGGUUCAAGCGAUUCUCCUGCCUCAGCCUGCGGAGUAGCUGGGAUUACCGGCAUGCGCCACUACGCCAAGUUAAUUUUGUGUUUUUAGUAGAGAUGGGGUUUCUCCAUGUUGGUGAGGCUGGUCUUGAACUCCCGACCUCAAGUGAUCUGCCUGCCUCGGCAUCCCAAAAUGCUGGGUUUACAGGCGUGAGCCACCGCGCCCGGCUUUUUUUUUUUUUUUUUUUGGAGAUGGAGUGUCGCUGUGUCACCCAGGCUGGAGUGCAGUGGCGCCAUCUCGGCUCACUGCAAGCUCCGCCUCCCGGGUUCACGCCAUUUUCCUGCCUCAGCCUCCUGAGCAGCUGGGACUACGGGCGCCCACCACCAUGCCCGGCUAAUUUUUUGUAUUUUUAGUAGAGACGGGGUUUCACCGUGUUAACCAGGAUGGUCUCGAUCUCCUGAGCUCGUGAUCCACCCGCCUCGGCUCCCAAACUGCUGGGAGUACAGGCGUGAGCGCGGUUUUUUUUUGUUUUGUUUUUUUUUAAAUACGGGUUUUCACCCUGUUGCCCAGGCUGGUGUGGAACUCCUGAGCUCAGGUGAUCCACCCGCCUCGGUCUCCCACAGUGUUGGAAUUACAGGCGUGAGCCACAGCAUCCGGUCUCAGUUCUUUUGAAGUCAUUUUACCAUCCUCUGGAUUUUCCUCAUGCUAAUUCUCCUUCCCAGCCUCCAGGAAAGACAGGCACGUUUUCUUGAUGACUUCAGCACUUGUAACCCCUUGUUGGCUCUCCUUAGAGGACAUUAACUGUGUGUUUGAACCUUUCAACUUCGAGGAUCUCCUCAGCCUUCCUUACUUGUUCACCCUUCUGGAUCAUGAAAUCUCCAAAUUUGUCUUUUGAACCCAGUGCCCAUAUCCACCCUCACCUGAACCCAUUCUUUAAUAAAAUGCAUUCCUACCAUGA